UUGUCCAGAGGAUUUUCUCAUGGAGAAAUGGUUUUGGUUGGAUCAAGGAUUUUACAAUUUUCAGUGUGUAGAGUAGACGACUAUCGGCAGUGUGUGGUGUGCAAGGCUAAUGGUGGUGUGGCUGAGUGCUCAGCUAGACCACGUGUUUGGGCUUGGAUUGAUCGGCCACGAAAACAGUCACGGGCUUCCUUCAAAAGCUCCAAAACUUCUGGGGCAUCUUCGGGUGAAGCUUCCCAUUGAUCCUCUUUCAAAAGCUCUGGAUCGACUUGAUCGUUAACAUCAGAAAGUGUUUCAUAUAUAUUGAUCGCUUCAAGGAUCCUGCUGCCGGCUUCCGUAGUGGUGGGAAUACGUGCAAUGCGUUUGGAAACCCUCCCUGCUCGAAUAGACUGUUAAGUUUCUACGUCUUUGUUUGAUAUGUAUUUUUUUGUUUGAUAUUCCGGAAUCGGAAGUGUUGUAGACCCGCCAAACUCUCUCACGCUGGCUCCGCCCGGAGAUGAUUUCGUAUAGUGCGCAAUUAAUAAGUCGGUGUGGGAACUAACAGGGAAAUUGUGUUUCAAUCUUUCUGAUAUACGGACUUUUAUAGACAUUGAUGUAGGAGUGAGCCGGUCUUAAGCUCUGACAAGAUUGAACGAUCCUGCUGGGGUGAGAGUAAGCCCGUUUUGGACGUUUAAGGCCCUUAGAUGAAGACCUUUUCCCUGGUUGUCCUUGUAUUGAAUCCGAGCCGACAGCGCGGUCUAAAGAGGCUCAAGGGAAAGACCAAAAAGACAAGAAACUUGAUUGUAAAAAGGAACAGCAGACAAAGAGCAUGCGCGGAGCUAUGCACGAUUUCUUUUCUUUCUAUCCCUUCUCCGUUUCGCCCUUUUUCUUUCUUUCAUGUCAACAUGCUUGUAGGAUGCUGAUGAAGAUGCGUCGUUGUGUUCUAAAAUGGCUCCCCCCCACCGGUUCCUGUUUGGUCCAUCAAGUAAAUAAACUAAAGGGCGUCGGUUUAAGGCAUUCGAGCAGACUUCCCUUUUAGUUCCAGUCGGUCAUUUUCCCAGUUCUCUUUUCUAAACGGUUUUCUUCUUUUUUCUUUCAAUUCGCAAUUUAUCACACUUUCUUUGUUUGUGACGCGUCUGUGUUAUUCGAUUCGACAACCCUUUCGUUUUGUUGGAUUUCUUCAAGUUUGAUAUUGAUUUCAUUGAAUCAAUAG